rnacentral:lncRNA from 1 species
AUAAAUGUCAUAAAACAUCAGAGUAUUUAUUACAUAGCGGAAGACUUAUUACAAAAUAAAAGUAAUAAACAUGAAACGAACUAAGGAUCGUUGGCGCCAAUGUCGACUGGGAUACGCCACCUAGAUCAGAUCGAACUCCUCAGUGUUAGGCGGCUCCUCCUGAACCACCUGAUCAUCUCCUGUGGGGGGGGUGUGAGACAGCAAGGGUGAGCUCACACAUGGUCAUCGCUCAACAAGUUGUGGGGAAUAAUGUGACACGAACUCACCAAAGGUGGGAGCUCAUGUGAAGUGUAAGGCUGAUCAAUGAUAGGGGUUAAAGCUGAGCAUUGCUUUUAAGUAGUUGGUCAAAAUUUUAUUAGCAGUUACUAAGUGUAAGUAAAUACCAAACCAUAAGUAAAGUAAUAGAACAAAAUUAAUAACAAACCCAUGCAAUGCAAAUGACAAAAUUGAAUUUAAGUUCCAUAAUUUAAACAUCAGAGAGUCCUGAGCUGCUCAUGACCGUGAGCUCGGCUAGUAUACCAGUUUUACACUCUGCAGAGGUUGUACCCUUUACCCACAAGUCAUGUUACCCAUCUGCCAAGGGGUCAUGAAUCCCAUACACCUCUACCUAGGAAGCGCGGCAGGGCAACACUACGAGGCCUUUACAAAGUUCCACUAGCUUCCGAAAACCCGCUACAGUUUAUGGGAAGAUCCAGUACAGGGUUCCUGGCUGACCGCCAUCGCAGCAAAAUCAACCAGGGACCUCCCCGCACUGACCUCUCCCCUACUGCCCUUGCCCCUUUCGGGUAAGGUAGUCUUCCACUAGAUUUCCUAAUUAGUCAGCCAAGGGCGUCCCAUUAAACCCUUGUGGUGGCACGUGGUUCUCAAGUUAAGCUCUAUGUUCCAAUUAACAUUAAUGAUCUCAACAUGAACAUAAAUAGAAUAACAAAAAUAACUGGAACAUAGAGGUAAUAAAUGAUUAUCCCAAAACCAUGUAAAGCAAUAGCAAACUACCCAAGUGAUUCAGGGGUGAACAAGGUAAUGAGAUAAACAAUCUAGGGUAACCUAUUGGGUCCCAUCAAAAUUAACCUAUGCAUGGAUAAGUGAUAUUAAAGAACAUUAUUGGGUAAAAAGUGGUCAAGGGCACAACUUGCCUUCAAUGAGCUCCUGCUCAGCUACUUCAAUCUGCUGCUCACCAGGAUCCUCAGCAACGGGCUCUUCUACUCGCCACAAUACAAACAAGCACAGGAUAUAGGGAAAAUUAACAUUACACCAAGCAUGUAAACAAAAUACACAGAGAUAUUCUACAUAUUAAAAUAAAAACCUAGGAACUGGAAUCAUAAUUUUCUGAGUUAUAGAUUUCGAGUUAUGCAUUUUCAAAAGUUUUAUGUGCUUUAAAUAGGAUUAAGUGAUAAAUAAAUUUCUUGCUGUUUUCAUGACAUAACAGAGGCCCUAGGUGCUAAAGAAUAAAAUUACAAAAUUUUAGAAACUGGAAUGAAGUGAUUUGGAGUUAGUAUGAAUUUUCUAUGAAUUUAUUAAGUUCUAGUAAUUAUUUUCAUAUUAAAAAUCUAUUUAAUAAUCCUCUUCUCUGAUUUCAUUAUGUCCUGGACUGCGCCUCAAUAACUGAGAAGCACAGGGGCUACGGGGUAAAAUUCCAGAGACACAGCGAACAGUAAAAAUGGACGGCGGGUUGAUUCUCUGGUUUCCAGGGGGUUCUUUAACAAAACUGCAAGCCGAAGAGGUAUGAAGCCAACUCGGCCGUCAGAUCGGACAUGGGCGUUCCAGAUUAGAUCUGGAGUGGAUCGAAACGGUACGCGUCGGCCACCGCACGAUCAAAUCUCAACGCUUCUUAUUCAAAACGCUCGCUACACCUGUCAUCCGUCUGAUCUAAAUCGGACGGCCAGAAGAAGAUCAGGCCGAACCGGUAUACUGCGAGGGUCGUUGGAUCUAGGAUCGAGGAUCCGGAUUUAAUUACCUCUAGAUCUAGUAACAACCGUACGAUGCGAGAUCAACGACCACCACUUCCUCGGCCGAAACGGUACACUAGGAUUUAAUCCCAACCGCACACUACCGGAUCAAUGGCCCACGUCCCGGCUACAACCCCGCGCCCACCAACGUCGAUCAUGAGGCGGUGCCGCCCUUUCCUCACGGCGGCAAGCUCGCCGGAAUACCGCCCCCGAAGUUCUAAGGGUAGAAUUCCUACUCCGCCUAGUUCAACAGGAAGGGGACAACACGGUGAACCAAAUGGUUAGUGACAUACCGAAGUUGGGCGCACGUGUACAUGAUGCCCAGGUCGAGGCGGAUCCACGGCGGUGUCGUCCCUCCGGUGAGCAAUUAAACCGCCGCUGAUGACGCUCCGAACACACCCCAGCUACCGCGAGAUUCCUUGAACCCGACCAAGCCCCCUCGCACCACGAAACCGCCCGAACGUUGUUUAAUCCCGAACACCACGGCGGCGGCGGAUUUCUCUUCCUCGCGAUUCAAGACGACGACGCCCUCGCUUCCAGGUGGCUAGCCGGUGCUUUCGGAGGUUGGGUAAACGAGAGGGAAUGCCGCUCGGGUCACCCAUUUAUGGCCGACUCGGUGCAACCACCCGCGAACGAGGAGCCGCGUUUUCCGGUGGAUCUCGCUGACCCACGCGCUGGCGCGAGGUAGCGGACGAGAUUG